CGUGCUGCAGUAGCGCAUCUCGCCUCUAUCGGCAGAGUCUGUUCUGAAGAACAAAGUAUUCCAAGAGAGUCCUAAGAAAACUUGGACCAGGACAAAUAGAGAAACUGAAGGGUCUUUCUGGCAAGAAGAUGUAAGGCCUUUGCACUACAACGUUAAUAUCUCAUGUAUCUCCACUCGGGUUGUGGAUUCUGUGGCACAGUGUUCCAUAUGCUUUAGUUUUAAUUUCUCUUUCAUGUCUUAAUUCCCCACCCUUGAUUAAACUUUAUUUUCUUAUUUCUGUUUAGUCAUCCUGUGUAUUUCUGUUCUUUUGUGAUCUCAUUUUGUUUGUACCUAGUUUGGUUUCUAUUUGUCCUGGACUAUGCAUUCCAGACUUGCUUCUGUCUCCCAACUGUAUGACUACAGACUCUCACAUAUAAUGACAAUAGAUUCACUCUCAGUAAACACUGUUUGACUUCA